AAGUUAAUUAUAAAAUUAUAUUAAUUAAUUUUAAUAGCCCAACGAUCCUUCUGGAAUUGAUGUCUGAGAAGAACAAAGUCCCCAGAGAGGCCAACAGGGAAAAGGUCAAGUCAGACCAAAUUUUUCAGGCCCAGAGCUGUGCCUGCUUUGUCCUGAGCUCCAAUUUGGGAAACACAAGAAGAAAUGAAGAUGGACACAUGAUGACAGAGACCCUUGGGCUCCUGGGGGUGGUGGCAGGAGCACGAGUGACAGCUGUUUCCAAAUAUGGACCGAUGACAAGAUGCUUCCAAGAACCAAAAGAUUAGGAAAGAUCUUCUUUUCAUCUUUCAAGUGAAAAACAUAUCUGCUAGCAAGAAUAAUGAGGAUUUGAGAAAUCACUGUGGAAAAAGAAGAUUGUUUAUACGAAGCCAGUGACUUUGGCCUGACUGACAUAUGUAAGCACAUCUGACAGAAGCAAAAGCAAACUUAAUAAUCCAAUGGUUAUACCCCAAGCCCACGUAAUUUGAGAAGUGAGCACCUUGGGGGCAGUUUAAAGCAGGGGCUUUGGUGAAGGCAGAUCUUUUUAUUUUUUAUUUUUAUUUUACUUAAAAAAACAAAACUGCAGAACAUGCAGGUUGUUACAUAGGUAAAUGUGUGCCAUGGUGGUUUGCUGCACCUAUCAACCCAUCGCCUGGGUACUAAGCCCCACAUUCAUUAGCUAUUUUUCCUAAUGUUCUCCCUCUGCUAGCACCCCCAACCAACAGACUCUGAGAUGUGUUGUUCCCCUCCCUGUGUCCAUGUGUUCUCAUUGUUCAGCUCCCACUUAUGAGUGAGAAUAUGCGGUGUUUGGUUUUCUGUUCCUUUGUUAUUUUGGUGAGGAUGGUUUCCAGCUUUAUCCAUGUCCCUUUAGAGGACAUGAUCUCAUUCCUUUUUAUGACUGCAUAGUAUUCCAUGGUGUAUAUGUGCCACAUUUUCUGUAUGUAGUCUAUCAUUGGUGGUCAUUUGGGUUAGUUCCAUGUCUUUGCUAUUAUGAAUAGUGCUGCAGUAAGCAUACGUAUGCCUGUAUCUUUAUAAUAGAAUGAUUUAUAUUCCUUUGGGUAUAUACUCAGUAAUGGGAUUGCUGGGUCAAAUGGUAUUUCUGGUUCCAGAUCUUUGAGGAAUCACCACACUGACAGUAUAAAAGUGUUACUAUUUCUCCACAGCCUCGCCAGCAUUGUUUCUUGACUUUUUAAUAAUUGUCAUUCUGACUAGCAUGAGAUGGUAUCUCAUUGUGGUUUUGAUUUGCAUUUCUCUAAUGAUCAGUGAUGUUGACCUUUCUUUCAUAUGUUUGUUGGCCGCAUAAAUGUCUUUUGAGAAGUUUCUGUUCAUGUAGAAAGGCAGAUCUUCUUUCCCCACUAUGGGACCUUGGGUUGGUGUGUCUGUGGUUUCCAUGACAACUCUCAGAUUUGAUGAUUUACUGGAAGGGCUCACAGGACUCAGGAGAGUUACAGUUUGUGACUGUGAAAGGACACAGAUUAAAAUCAGCAAAGAGAAAAGGCACACAGGGAAAGGUCUGAGAGAAAAAAAAAGACACAAGCUUCAAGUUGUCUACCCCCAGCGGAGUUGCGUAAGUGCUUAAUGCCCUAGGAACAGUGUGUGACACACCUGCGAGGUGUUGCCAUCCAGGGAAGCUCGCCUGGGCCUUUGGUAUCCAGGGUUUUUAUUGGGGGUUUGUCAUGUAGGCAGGCAGUGCCUUCAUAGCUGACCUUAGCUACUCAGUCUCCAGCCCUGCCAAGGUCCAGCUGAUAGAGCCUGGCCCAAAGCCCCAAGCAUACAACAAGGGAGCAUCAUAAGCCACAUUGAUAGCACAAACUAUCUGAGCAAGCUGGUAUAGCAUGGCCGAAACCUCAGUCACACAAACAUUUCUAUCAGGCCUCAGAUGUCAUCAUGCAGAAGCCCUUCAACAGCCAGUCCUUUGUCUGGAGUAGUGUAAGGUUUGAGCACCAAAGCCUGCUGAGUUGACCUUUUACUGCACGAGUAAUUACUUUUCCUCCCUGGAACUUGAUUUUCUUCUCAGAAAAACUACACUAAUGAGAAGAUCUUUGUGAUAAUUCGAAAGAUUAUCCUGAAGAUAAAAUAUCGGUAACAUGUUCAGAAUAAUGCCUGACUUAUAUCAAAAACUCCAUAUUAUCAUUUCUAAAAUUUUAAACUUUUAAAAACUUUAUUCCAGGGUGUGGUGAGUCUUCUGGGGUUUGCCUCCUAUGUCUCAGACUUGGAGCUGGAAAAGUUGGUAAGCAAGAAAUGCCAGCUGGAGCAGACACACACAAAAUAAAAUAGCCCCAAGAAAAGACUCCUUUCUCUAGCCAAAGGAACACAACAGGGGCAUCCUAGCCAGUUAGAAUGCUUUUGGGCAGUAACUGCUCUGGCACAGCUGAACACCACAGAGAAGCUGUGGCCUCACAGCUGCCCCUGCCAGCAAAGACUCAGUGGGGAGCCUAUACUGCCACCGCCGCUAGGCUGUAACAAGCUACCUAAACCUCUCUGGGGUGAUGUCAGAGAAGGUGAGGUAGGGACCUGGGACUUCCGUAUCUGAUGGGUAGUAAUGGGUACCCCCCCACACACACCAACAUCAGUGUAUACCACGUAAACAACCAGGACUUCCAGGAUAUCAUGAUGAGAGGUGAAGCCAGCUGGACUUCCUGGGUCCAGUGGGGACUUGGAGAACUUUUCUGUCUUACAAGAGGUUUGUAAAAUGCACCAGUCAGUGCUGUGUAAAAACGUACCAAUCAGCACUCUGUAGCUAGCUAGUGGUUGGUAAAAUGGACCAAUCAAUGCUCUGUAAAAUGGACCAAUCAACACUCUGUAAACUGGACCAAUAAGCAGGACAUGGGCGGGGACAAUUAAGGGAAUAAAAGCUGGCAUCCUCAGCGGCGUGGGGGGCAACCUGCUUGGGUCUCCUUCUAUCCUGUGGAAACUUGGUUCUUUCAGUCUUCACAAUAAAUCUUGCU
ensembl:lncRNA